UAUAAUACCAUCACCAACAAAUUACAUAAAUGAUCCUUUUGAGAGUAAUUUCUUAUUUACACAUUUUCGUCAAACAAAACCAUAAAAUUGAGUUUCUCUUUUUCCUAGAGAUUAAGAAAAAACUAAAUACAAACACAUUCACGGAUUUUAAUUCAUUAAAGGAUUGGAAAUUAGUACAAACAGACAAAUUGAUCACCUGCUGCUAGGCAAUCACUGUAACGAGCAUAGAGUCAAAUACUUAAUGAAUUGGCUAAAUGUGACAUGGCAACAACGGCUGACUGGCUGAAGACUUAACAACCAACAUUGUGGUUGUUGUACCAAAGUUCAGCAAAUAAAUGAGGAAGACGUGUGCGUAUAAUCGGAUAUUAUAACCUGCUGCGCCUGUGCAAACACUUGGAUGAUGUGCUCGCUCGUACCAUUGUGUCAUUGUACAUUCAUUCAACGUUAACGAUUGCAUUUCGGUACAAGGACAAUGAAAACCAACAAUAAUCGAAUAGCAGAUGAGUUUUUCAGCUGUUCUUCUGUUUAGUUUGUAUGUCUCGUAUGUCCUGUUCUGUCUUAGUUGCU